rnacentral:rRNA from 1 species
AGCGAACGCUGGCGGCAGGCCUAACACAUGCAAGUCGAACGCGUGUAGCAAUACACGAGUGGCAGACGGGUGAGUAACACGUGGGAACGUGCCCUUCGGUUCGGAAUAACUCAGGGAAACUUGAGCUAAUACCGGAUACGCCCUUACGGGGAAAGAUUUAUCGCCGAUGGAUCGGCCCGCGUCUGAUUAGCUAGUUGGUGAGGUAACGGCUCACCAAGGCGACGAUCAGUAGCUGGUCUGAGAGGAUGAUCAGCCACACUGGGACUGAGACACGGCCCAGACUCCUACGGGAGGCAGCAGUGGGGAAUAUUGGACAAUGGGGGAAACCCUGAUCCAGCGACGCCGCGUGGGUGAUGAAGGCCUUCGGUCGUAA